rnacentral:rRNA from 1 species
GGUAGCGAAAUUCCUUGUCGGGUAAGUUCCGACCCGCACGAAAGGCGUAAUGAUUUGGGCACUGUCUCGACAAUGCACCCGGUGAAAUUGAAAUACCAGUGAAGAUGCUGGUUACCUGCGCCAGGACGGAAAGACCCCAUGGAGCUUUACUCUAGCUUGAUACUGGGGUUCGGUAUUGCAUGUACAGGAUAGGUGGGAGACUGAGAAGAUGUGUCGCCAGAUGCAUCAGAGUCGAUGUUGGGAUACCACCCCUGCAGUACUGGGCUUCUAACCUGCAGCCGUGACCCGGCUGGGGGACAAUGUCUGGUGGGGAGUUUGACUGGGGCGGUCGCCUCCGAAAGAGUAUCGGAGGCGCUCAAAGGUUCCCUCAGAACGGUUGGAAACCGUUCGAAGAGUGCAAAGGCAGAAGGGAGCUUGACUGCGACACCGACGGGUGGAGCAGGUACGAAAGUAGGACUUAGUGAUCCGGUGGUAUAAAGUGGGAUUGCCAUCGCUCAACGGAUAAAAGCUACCCUGGGGAUAACAGGCUUAUCACUCCCAAGAGUUCACAUCGACGGAGUGGUUUGGCACCUCGAUGUCGGCUCAUCGCAUCCUGGGGCUGAAGUCGGUCCCAAGGGUAUGGCUGUUCGCCAUUUAAAGAGGUACGUGAGCUGGGUUCAAAACGUCGUGAGACAGUUUGGUCCCUAUCUGCCGUGGGCGCUGGAAGAUUGACGGGGGCUGCUCCUAGUACGAGAGGACCGGAGUGGACGCACCUCUGGUGUAUCGGUUGUGACGCCAGUCGCAUUGCCGAGUAGCUAUGUGCGGAAGAGAUAACCGCUGAAAGCAUCUAAGCGGGAAACUUGCCUGAAGAUAAGUCUUCCCGGAGGCUUGACCUCCCAAAAGAGUCGUUCGAGACCAGGACGUUGAUAGGUCGAAUGUGUAAGCGCUGUGAGGCGUUGAGCUAAUCGAUACUAAUUGCUCGUGAGACUUGAUCCU